rnacentral:lncRNA from 1 species
ACUGCGAUCGAGACUGGUCGAAGAAGUUCUCCGACCUUCAAAAGUAGCUGCAGGAUGCUGAGGUGAACUACAACACCUAUCGAGUUGGCUGGAGCGGACAAGUAGAGGACUACCGAAGGAAGCUCCAGAUGGCGACCGACGAAGUUGCCCACCUUCGGAGGUAGUUGUCUGAGAGAGUCCAGCUUGCCUCCGCACAAGGCUUCGACGAGC